GCCCGGUUCCGGACCCAGCGUACCCGCCCAACCUUGAGACGAUCACCUACACUCGUCUCCCUUAUUUUGUCCAUUAGAUGGCCAUCAGCCUGUGCCGGCUGUUAUGCCAACUUAUCCCAACGAAGAAAAUUUAGCCGGAUAUUUCUCUCAUCAGAUACGGUAUUAUAAUCAUCGCUUAUGUCAUUUGUUUUUGCAGCUAUUUAGAAUCUCAUGCACGUGGAUAUUUGGUUAACUUCACAGGUGCGUAUAAUGGUUGGUGUAUUCUUAUAAUUAUGGGCAUUAAUAUUUAUUUUAUUUCUUUCUAAUUUGCACGAGGUCUCCAUUCAGAUGGAUUAGUAUUCAGGCACGUGAACAUUUCUUCCCCGGAAUUCAUUUUUUUUAUUUUAACAGCACUAUAUGAAACAGGCGACGAAUUACUACAAAGAUAUUGAUAGUCGCCGCAAAAGAAACACGCACGGAGGCAAUUUAGAGGCAAUCGUUGCGCCAAUUUAGGAACAAUGUGCCCACACAACUACGUAAAACGGGGUAUGUCACGAUAAUCAGUCGUGCAACAGGUAGGUGAUAUAAAUCUGUAUUAAAUCGCUUAAUUCUACCUUACCGUACCUAAAGAGCUCCCUGGGGGUGGUAAGGGGAUAUAUAUGGAUAAUUCCAAUUAGGCGCAGAUGCAUCACCUUUGGAGUUCCCCUCA